rnacentral:rRNA from 1 species
GUGGGGAAUAUUGGACAAUGGGGGGAACCCUGAUCCAGCCAUGCCGCGUGUGUGAAGAAGGCCUUUUGGUUGUAAAGCACUUUAAGCGAGGAGGAGGCUACCGAGAUUAAUACUCUUGGAUAGUGGACGUUACUCGCAGAAUAAGCACCGGCUAACUCUGUGCCAGCAGCCGCGGUAAUACAGAGGGUGCAAGCGUUAAUCGGAUUUACUGGGCGUAAAGCGCGCGUAGGUGGCCAAUUAAGUCAAAUGUGAAAUCCCCGAGCUUAACUUGGGAAUUGCAUUCGAUACUGGUUGGCUAGAGUAUGGGAGAGGAUGGUAGAAUUCCAGGUGUAGCGGUGAAAUGCGUAGAGAUCUGGAGGAAUACCGAUGGCGAAGGCAGCCAUCUGGCCUAAUACUGACACUGAGGUGCGAAAGCAUGGGGAGCAAGCAGGAUUAGAAACCCGGGUAGUCC